rnacentral:rRNA from 1 species
UACGUAGGGGGCAAGCGUUGUCCGGAAUCAUUGGGCGCAAAGAGCGCGUAGGCGGCCCGAUAAGUCCGCUGUGAAAGUCAAGGGCUCAACCCUUGAAUGCCGGUGGAUACUGUCGGGCUAGAGUUCGGUAGGGGAGACUGGAAUUCCUGGUGUAGCGGUGAAAUGCGCAGAUAUCAGGAGGAACACCGGUGGCGAAGGCGGGUCUCUGGGCCGAUACUGACGCUGAGGAGCGAAAGCGUGGGGAGCGAACAGG